rnacentral:rRNA from 1 species
GAUGAACGCAGGCGGCGUGCCUAAUACAUGCAAGUCGAGCGAAUGGAUUAAGAGCUUGCUCUUAUGAAGUUAGCGGCGGACGGGUGAGUAACACGUGGGUAACCUGCCCAUAAGACUGGGAUAACUCCGGGAAACCGGGGCUAAUACCGGAUAACAUUUUGAACCGCAUGGUUCGAAAUUGAAAGGCGGCUUCGGCUGUCACUUAUGGAUGGACCCGCGUCGCAUUAGCUAGUUGGUGAGGUAACGGCUCACCAAGGCAACGAUGCGUAGCCGACCUGAGAGGGUGAUCGGCCACACUGGGACUGAGACACGGCCCAGACUCCUACGGGAGGCAGCAGUAGGGAAUCUUCCGCAAUGGACGAAAGUCUGACGGAGCAACGCCGCGUGAGUGAUGAAGGCUUUCGAGUCGUGAAACUCUGUUGUUAGGGAAGAGCAAGUGCUAGUUGAAUAAGCUGGCACCUUGACGGUACCUAACCAGAAAGCCACGGCUAACUACGUGCCAGCCGCCGCAGUAA